GCUCAACUUGAGAGUUUGAUCCUGGCUCAGAACGAACGCUGGCGGCAUGCCUAACACAUGCAAGUCGAACGCUAAGCAUUCUUCGGAAUGUUGAUAGUGGCGCACGGGUGAGUAACGCGUGGGGACCUACCUUUUAGUACGGAAUAACCGUUGGAAACGGCGGCUAAUACCGUAUACGCCCCUUUUAUUGAUUUAGGGGGGGGAAAGAUUUAUCGCUAAGAGAUGGACCCGCGUUGGAUUAGAUAGUUGGUGAGGUAAUGGCUCACCAAGUCAGCGAUCCAUAGCUGGUUUGAGAAGAUGACCAGCCACAUUGGGACUGAGACACGGCCCAGACUCCUACGGGAGGCAGCAGUGGGGAAUAUUGCACAAUGGGCGCAAGCCUGAUGCAGCAAUGCCGCGUGAGUGAAGACGGCCUUAGGGUUGUAAAAC
rnacentral:rRNA from 1 species